rnacentral:rRNA from 1 species
CCCUUAGAUGUUCUGGGCUGCACGCGCGCUACACUGACACACUCAACAAGCUUAUAACCUUGUCCGAGAGGUCUGGGAAAUCUUUGAAUAUGUGUCGUGAUGGGGAUAGAUCGUUGCAAUUCUCGAUCUUCAACGAGGAAUUCCUAGUAAACGCAGUUCAUCAGACUGCAUUGAUUACGUCCCUGCCCUUUGUACACACCGCCCGUCGCACCUACCGAUUGAAUGGUCCGGUGAGAAUUUUGGAUUGAUGUUUCGUCGGGUUAACGCCAGACUUUACGUUGAGAAGUUAUUCAAACCUUACCAUUUAGAGGAAGGUGAAGUCGUAACA